UGAAGAGCUUGCUCAGAUAUGACGAUGGACAUUGCAAAGAGUGGCGAACGGGUGAGUAACACGUGGGAAACCUACCUCUUAGCAGGGGAUAACAUUUGGAAACAGAUGCUAAUACCGUAUAACAAUAGCAACCGCAUGGUUGCUACUUAAAAGAUGGUUCUGCUAUCACUAAGAGAUGGUCCCGCGGUGCAUUAGUUAGUUGGUGAGGUAAUGGCUCACCAAGACGAUGAUGCAUAGCCGAGUUGAGAGACUGAUCGGCCACAAUGGGACUGAGACACGGCCCAUACUCCUACGGGAGGCAGCAGUAGGGAAUCUUCCACAAUGGGCGAAAGCCUGAUGGAGCAACGCCGCGUGUGUGAUGAAGGGUUUCGGCUCGUAAAACACUGUUGUAAGAGAAGAAUGACAUUGAGAGUAACUGUUCAAUGUGUGACGGUAUCUUACCAGAAAGGAACGGCUAAAUACGUGCCAGCAGCCGCGGUAAUACGUAUGUUCCAAGCGUUAUCC
rnacentral:rRNA from 1 species